UUAAAAUGAAUUGACGGGGACCCGCACAAGCGGUGGAUGAUGUGAUUUAAUUCGAUGCAACGCGAAAACCUUGCCCACCUUUGACAUGUACGGAACCCUUUAGAGAUAGAGGGGUGCUCGAAAGAGAGCCGUAACACAGGUGCUGCAUGGCUGUCGUCAGCUCGUGUCGUGAGAUGUUGGGUUAAGUCCCGCAACGAGCGCAACCCUUGUCAUUAGUUGCUACAUUCAGUUGGGCACUCUAAUGAGACUGCCGGUGACAAGCCGGAGGAAGGUGGGGAUGACGUCAAGUCCUCAUGGCCCUUAUAGGUGGGGCUACACACGUCAUACAAUGGCUGGUACAAAGGGUUGCCAACCCGCGAGGGGGAGCCAAUCCCAUAAAGCCAGUCGUAGUCCGGAUCGUAGUCUGCAACUCGACUACGUGAAGUCGGAAUCGCUAGUAAUCGCGGAUCAGAAUGUCACGGUGAAUACGUUCCCGGUCUU
rnacentral:rRNA from 1 species